rnacentral:rRNA from 1 species
AGAGAGAGACAUGCGCGCAUAUCAAUAAGCGGAGGAAAAGAAACUAACUAGGAUUCCCUCAGUAACGGCGAGUGAAGCGGGAAGAGCUCAAAUUUGAAAUCUUCAAGGGUUCUACCUUUACGAAUUGUAGUUUAAAGAAGUGUUUUCUGUUGGAGUUUUGGUAAAAGUUCUUUGGAAUAGGACAUCAUAGAGGGUGAGAAUCCCGUAUUUGACCAUUAUUUCCAGCUUUGUGAUACACUUUCAAAGAGUCGGAUUGUUUGGGAAUGCAGUCCAAAAUGGGUGGUAAAUUUCAUCUAAAGCUAAAUACUGGCGAGAGACCGAUAGCGAACAAGUACCGUGAGGGAAAGAUGAAAAGAACUUUGAAAAGAGAGUUAAACAGUACGUGAAAUUGUCAAAAGGGAAGCGUUUGACACCAGUGUUGUUUUCUCGAAAAUCAAUUAAAAAAGGCAGGAUUUUGUGUUGUAUUGACUUUAUCAGCUUUCUGCACUCUUUUCUUGUCUUUUUUAAUGCACUUUUCGUUUAACAAGUCAACAUCAAUUUCUUUUGUUGUAAAAGGGUCAUUGGAAGGUGGCUUUCUUUUCGGAGAAAGUGUUUAUAGCCUUUGGCCUCUGCAAUCGGAGAGAUUGAGGUCUGCAGCGUAGAUCCUUCGGGGUUAGAUACAUUUGUGCUAAGUUAUAGCCUUUCAUAGACAACUUGUUGGCUAUGAUCAGUCAUGUAGCUUACUCGCUUAUGCUAUUUUACCUACGCUUAGGAUGUUGAUGUGAUACUGCGAGC